GCCUCUUUCACCUGUGCUUAAUGGUUCCACACUGAUUUAUGCAUUUUGUUGAAAAGAGUUCAUAUAAAUAACUUUGGAGAACCUAUCAAAUUGCAGG